GUGGAAGGAGUAGAACGAAUUCCAAGGUGACGCAUGGAAAAUGGCAGCAGUAAACUCACUUUUCCCUUUUCUCUGUUUUCUUCAUGGCACUCUCUUCUCUUCCGUACUUGCUUUAUUAUCUCUUUUUAACUCCUGGUUAAUGUUUGUACCUAUCUUGAUGAAUGAUGAGCCACGAGUUGGCCAAUUUAUUACCUCUUAUUCACUCUUUGGAUAGGUGGAGCACAGCUUUUACCAAUCUUUCACGACGAUGAUGUUCGACCUCAGGUAAUCAUUUAGAAUUAUUAUAGUUAUUGUUGUCUAUCAUUAAAUGAUCAACUGAUGUCGACGCAGGCUCUUUCUUCACAUGUCUUGGUAGCCUGCUAAUAUAAUCUCAGUUCCAGUGAAGUGUCUCUUCAUUAAAAGCAUUUCAAUGUUUCCUUCAUAAGUUCCGCUGUUCAGAUCUCAUCACCAGGUUUUCGUUGAUUUUCUCAUGUGUGAUACGCUCAGUUCUUACUUCCCUAGAUCUUUAUAAAUGUGUGUAAUAACCAUUGUAAUGGUUUUUUUUGCCAGGUUCUUUGAAAAUUGGUGCCUUUCUCAGAGAACGAUCACCAUCAAAUUAUAAUAAUUGGGAAAAAAAAUCUUGGAGGUGAUGCUAUCAUAUUUAGCUGGAAAAGACGAUUGAGUGAGGUAUUAUAUUUUACGGAAUAAAGUUAAUUGGUUAUGUUGGACGUUUUAACAUGACGAAUUAGUAUUAGGACUCUAGAAUAUAUCUUGCUUAUUCCACAAAAAGACCCCCAUUGUCGCUUCUGGUUUGAGCUCAGUGAAGUGCCUAUUAAGGGAUUUCUUGAGCCCCCUCUGACCUCACUUCUCUCCCCAAAUCAAUGCAUGUUUUACGGCUUUCCCUGUUUAGAUAGCUAUGGAAAUGCUCAGAUUAGCUUGUUUCUUUAAUCUUAGAUUUUUUGGAGGUCUUUCAUGCCCAAGAAAAACAGGAC
rnacentral:lncRNA from 1 species